rnacentral:lncRNA from 1 species
GCGCAGAAUUGUAUAUUACACGGACAUGUUAGGUUAAAAAUCUUUGAGAUAGACAUUUCAAAACAGACAUAAUCAAUGUGUUCUUGGCGAACCCCCCACCUUUCCCAAAAGAAUGGCACUGUAUCAUAACCAUCACAACGCGCAACUAACCGGCCCCCAAAACAAUUCGAAAAACGGUUCAGUUCACACAUAAUUAAGAGAGAUAAUAAAAAUAAUGCAAUGGAAGCAUACGACACUUUCAAUAUUAUGUCAAGGUAUUUAUAAAGGCAACUACACUUUCGAGUUAUACUGAAUUGGGAUUUCAAAAUUUUGCUUUAGUGACUUGAUGUUUAUACAACGCGUACAGUUUGUAUACAUAGAAACUAUACUUACCUAUUAGUAAUAUAUUCGAUUUAAGAUGCAGAUCUCGGCUUCAGAAUGCACAGGGUCCGAAUGAAUUGCACCUUCACAUUUUUUCGCGAGAAUAUCAUUUCAUGCUACUUACUAAUAGUGCAUGUGUUCCUAUUCCCUUAUACAUGUAUUACCUUUCUAAACGAUUGCCGAAGCUUUGUCGAUGACGUUAAACGCGACCUAGCUACCGCAAAUUAGAUUAAGGUCAGAAAUCAGAGCAGGUGUAUAAUUUCUUUUGUUUCAAUAUCAAAUCAAUAUACUUUUAGUAGAACACCUGAAUUAGUUAAUAGGCCCAGACAUACUUUUUUUAAUUGGGAUGGUUAUACGGAUGUAUUAUUUAGAUCAUUGAUGACGCAAUACAGUGGUGCUUUUCUGUGAAAUUAUAAAAACAAGUCGGAAUCGUUCUUAUCUACAAAUGUAAAACCUCUCUUCAAAUUAUAUCAAAAUGAAUUGGAACAAAGCUGGAAUCGGGUCUCUUCUUUUUAAGAUAUGAUCAUACAUGUAGCUCAACCUUAACCCGAAUAAUUCAGUCGUUAUAUUCCGCUGAUCUACGAAGGCUACAUUAACCUCGUGUGGGAAAAAAUCGGACAAGGAAAGGGCUUGAAUCUUCGAGUUAGCUCAACCCAUCAAAAACUUGCAAAACUAGACACUUUACUGUAUGAGAUAAUUGAACAAGUAAGUGUCGCUCAUCUAGGUCUAUGUGCAUGUCUAACAAUGGACACUCUCUAACAUUGUGCACUAGAAUAUAAUUCAUGACAAACAGUUUUUUUUUUUUGUUUAUUCUGUUAAAAUAUUUUCUCUGGUCUUUAUUUUUUGCCCAAAAGAUAGAAUAGGGUAGAAAAACGUCAUGUUAAUGGCUAUUAAUCUUAUCAAGAGUCUACUAACGAUUUCUGCAGAAUUUGCAUGAUUUGUAGAUAUUUUUUCGAAUAACCUGUUUUUUGCCAUGUGAUAUGG